rnacentral:rRNA from 1 species
GACGAACGCUGGCGGCGUGCUUCAUACAUGCAAGUCGAACGAGAAGCUGACUUCGGUCAGUGGAAAGUGGCGGACGGGUGAGUAAUAUGUAGGAAAUCUGCCUUUAGGAGGGGGACAACAGAGGGAAACUUCUGCUAAUACCCCAUAUGAGCGUAGCUGAAAUGCUAUUCUUGAAAACUCCGGUGCCUAAAGAUGAGCCUGCAUCUGAUUAGCUAGUUGGUAGUGUAAUGGACUACCAAGGCGACGAUCAGUAGCUGGUUUGAGAGGAUGAUCAGCCACAAUGGGACUGAGACACGGCCCAUACUCCUACGGGAGGCAGCAGUAGGGAAUUUUGCGCAAUGGGCGAAAGCCUGACGAAGCAACGCCGCGUGAACGAUUAAGCCCUUCGGGGUGUAAAGUUCUGUCAGUGGGGACGAAACUUGACGGUACCCACAGAGGAAGCACCGGCUAACUCCGUG